AUAGAGUUCACGAAAAACUAUACAUAACCAUACUGUAUAUGCAGAGAAGAUUAGCAUGGCCCCUGUGCAAGGAUGUCUCACAAAUUCCUGAAGCAUUCCAUAUAUUU